ACGGGAGGCAGCAGUGAGGAAUAUUGCACAAUGGAGGGAACUCUGAUGCAGCGACGCCGCGUGAGGGAAGAAGGUUUUCGGAUUGUAAACCUCUGUCCUUGGUGACGAUAAUGACGGUAGCCAAGGAGGAAGCCCCGGCUAACUACGUGCCAGCAGCCGCGGUAAUACGUAGGGGGCGAGCGUUGUCCGGAAUUACUGGGUGUAAAGGGAGCGUAGGCGGGUGAUCAAGUUGAUUGUGAAAUCUAUCGGCUCAACUGAUAGCUGCGAUCAAAACUGAUCAUCUUGAGUGAAGUAGAGGCAAGCGGAAUUCCUAGUGUAGCGGUGAAAUGCGUAAAUAUUAGGAGGAACACCAGUGGCGAAGGCGGCUUGCUGGGCUUUAACUGACGCUGAGGCUCGAAAGCGUGGGUAGCAAACAGGAUUAGAUACCCUGGUA
rnacentral:rRNA from 2 species